UCAAGAUUCAAAUGUUCAGAUAAAUUCAAUUUUUAGAGGGAAACUAUGAAGCACACACAUAUUUCAUUUCAAAAGAGAAGCCAUUUGUCAUUACAAAAUCAUCCAAAUCAUAUUAUAAUACCAAUUACCAAAUUACAUCAUUUUUGCCGAGAGUUGACUUUUGGCUAACUGUUGGCUUUUUGGUCCAAAUAGUUGACCAAAGUCAACCACUACUCCUAAACACUAGUCCCAUUUUUCUUCAGUUACAAGUCUUCCUAUAUGUUUUUGUUGCCCCAAAGCAUCCAAGUUGCUCCAUGAAGGAACCUUGAGUCAUGAACAUUGUCAUGACCAUACUAGCCCCUUGACCAAUGCCAAGUCAUGACCAUACUAGCCCUGCAAAAUCACAUACACAAUGAGAAAAGGCGAAGACCUUAUGCUUCAUACACAAGCCACUGCAUCAAACAUAUGGAAAAAAGACCAACUUUCAUGUUGGUAAUCGGUUAACCAAAAGUUGUUAACCGGUUACAUCCACGUUUCACAUCCACUCAGCAUACCAGAAAAUCAACCCUUCGUGUUAGUAACCGGUUAACCCAAGACGGCUAAUCGGUUACACCUGCACAUGACCAGUCAGUCCUUUACAAUUCAUAACAUUACCAGCAAACAAACUUUAAUUCACAUACAAAUUCUAACAAGUCCGAUUCCUUAACAACAAACUCUUAACUAUUUUCCUAUCAAGCUAUAACUAACAGGGAACCAUUUUUCAUUCAACAUAACUCUAUUAUCACUAACUACUACUAAUAGUUUUCAUCAACAAUCUUAUAUGGCUAAUUCAAACAAUUUCAUGAUUCACUAACUUAACAUAUAACCAUCUAAUAACUAACUUCAAUUCCCUAACUGUCAGUUUCAUAACUAACACGCAUUUUUCUCAUUAAACUAACUCCAUUAGAAACAAUCAUCAUUUUCCUAACACUUCCACCAUUAACAACAGCAUCAAGAUUUCCACGAUUCACUACAACAGCAGCUUAAGGUGUUCUGGGCAAAUAAAAUACAAGAAAUUGGCCAAACAACAUCAUUAUCACCACUAUACAUUAACAUUUUAACACUCACUUACUAACUAAUCUUUUACUCCUAACAGUGCAAACAGCCACUAACUAAUUCUCAUCAUAGUAACUAACUAUAACACUACACUAAUUGCUACAACAGUUGUUUUAAAUUCAAAUAAAGUAUAACUAAUCCAUUUCAUAACUAACCUAACUAACUUUUAAAAAAUUUAACUAACUUCUAAAUAAUUUAACUAACCUCCAAAUCAACUUAUUAACAUAAUUGUUAUCAUUUCAAAUUUCCUAACAGAUUCUAACAAAUCCCAAUUAACCAACUAUUUCACUUAACUAACCUAAUGCAUACACAACUAAAUCUAUCCAAUUUUUUCACAAGUGACUUAAGGAGUACACUAAUUAAAUGCUAACAACUAACACUUAAAUGAAACUAAUAUAACUUUAACUCUAUUAAAUUCCUAAAAACUUUCCUCUUCAGUCAAUUAACAGUUAACCCUGCCCUAGCACAUAACUACCAAUGUCUGAAUUUCUGACCAAAAUACUUGUAAGAUUUCUCUAUAAAUCAGUUCAUCUCUUCAACAAUCAAAAGGGAUGAUUCUCUCUCAAUCACUCUCAAUUCUCUCUAAUUCUCACUCCAUUAGUUUCUUCCACUACUCUCAAUCCAUUCUUUCUAAAGCUCUCUCUAUACGCAAUACCACACGCGUGUAGAGCAACGACCAUAGCAUAACCUACAUACUAGGAAUUUUGGAGAAGAAAAGAAGAGGAUCAUUGCAACAAUUAAGAAGUAGAUAUUCGAAGGAUUACCUGUUGUGUCUCUGGUAUUUUAUUAAUCCAUUUGCAUCGGCCUUAAGAUUCAAUGAAGUAUCCGCUUUGUAGAUCAGUUUCUCCCUUGAAAUUCAUCAUUUUAGUUCAUAGUUUAUUGCCCCAAUGUAGACUGAUAGCGUAGGGACCAAACCCCUAAGGUUUGGAUUCCUCUUGGAGUUCCCUUCGCGUUUAAUUUCAGAUUUCAUUUUUAGGGUUCAUAGAAUUGUUUGUUCAAUUUGGAAUAUUGGGUAGGAAUUAAGGAAAACAUGUUGUAGAUUGUGAGAGAGGGAAUCAAGACGAGCAGAUUGGUGUGUGUUUGGGAGAAUUUGGACCUACACCGCCGCUUGAAGUGAUUUUUGGUGCGGCGAGGUUUUGAUCUCCAAUGAAGUGGAAGGAACAAGGUUCAUGGACGUGAAUUGAAUGAGAAAUUUGAAAUGAGCUUUCUAAUCCCUGCACCUUCACUUGGCUUCACGUUUUGGGAUCAAAGCCCUUAGCCCAUCAUAUCUUCUGGCUACACCCCAUGUCAAUCCUCACACCCCCUCCUGGAUAACCUUGCAACAAUUCUUUGGGCUUUCUGUUUAUCCCACGCUGCAUUUGCUAUGUACACACCAUUUACACAUUACACCCUCUGCCUCUAGUUUUUCUCUUUUUCAUUUGUUUUGUUUUGUUUUUUAUGUUGUUUUGUCACUUUUUCUAUGCAUUUAAUUUGAUUUUAGCUCAUUUUAAUUAUUUUUGAUACAUUUUAUUUUAAUAUAAAA
rnacentral:lncRNA from 1 species